UGUGAAUUCAUGAUGAAUAAUUGUUUUGUUUGCACUAAAAUAUGCAUCCUCCGUGAGCAACCUUUAUAAUUUCCUUGACAUUUUUGUGUUAUAAUUUAUCCUAUUCCCAGCAUCACAAGCCUUGCUUUAAAGAUUGGCCCCCAUCACAAAAAACACACUUGGCCACUAGUGGGCCACCCUGCCACGGCUAUAACACGUUUCAAAUCAUUUUACUUAAUUUAUCUCUCUACUCAGGUCUUCAGUCACUUUGCCGUGUGCCUUGCAAGGACAAAUAACUUGCCUUUAUCUUCUCCUGGUGUCGUGCACCAAGGUUUCAAGUUGAGACUUGGUCAUCCUCUCAGGACAAACUAGACCUCACCUUCUCCUUCCCCUGAGGUGAGGAUCGGUCAGAGUCCAUCAACAAUUAGUGACGAUGACACAGGUGAAACUUAUUUAGUUACUGUAUUGAAGACUCACAAAUUAAAUUGAAAAUACUGUUGUGUGUGUGUGUGUGUGUGUGUGUCGGUGUGGCUUUCUGCCGUGAUCCAGUACUAAAGACAGCCAUGAAGAAGUACACGGUGAGAUACAUUAACACUUAACUUUUGUAUUCAGAUAAUGUAAUCUACACACACACUCCUCCUUUAAUCAUUUUACUUAAUUUAUCUCCCUACUUAGGUCACUAACUAACACUUUUUUUUAUUUGGGUUACACUUGAAUCAGGACAACACAGUUGAAAGGCGGAGAGAAAUUGCCAUUUGCUGCCUCAUAGUCUAUCUUGAAUAGGAGGAGGAGGACCUAUUCAAACAGUACCAUGUAAGUAAUUGAGUAUACUUUUAAUUUUUACUUUUGUUUGCAUUGCAUGUCUCUGUAGCCUUCCCAUGUUUCAAUCCUGUGCACCAGCCAGCUCCUGUGGGCUAGGCUUUGAAGUACAUGGUCACCCUUCAUUCCCUUAUGCACGUCACCCUGAAGAGCUUGAGCCAUGUAUUUUAUACUUCCUAACAUCUUUUAAUUUCUUCUUCAAGGAUGUGGAGGAGCUCGAUGCAGACUUUGCGAUGCAAGUGAUGAAGAUUGCCAUCAUCGAUUCCUUCUUUUGCUGGAUAUUUUUCCUGGAGUUAGUCAGGAGUAUGAGCAGUCUGAUAUUGAUGAGAGAAGAAAUGAUAAUUCCCACCUAACCAGACUUGCUCCCCUGUGCCAUCGACUCUGCUGUGGUGGUCCUCUGCUCCACCCUGGUGGGAUUAUGUCCCAUCUUCUCAGCUGUGGUGGUCCUCUGCCCUGCCCACCAGGUGGUGGGCUUUUUUUUUGAUGAGAGGAUUAAUAAAAACAAGUUUGAAGGUUUUGGGGACAUGCUUAGAUGGAAUAGGGUCUAACAUACACUGUUGUUAAACAACAAGUUGUUGUUAAAACAGUAGCCUGUGCAGAACCCAGAUAAAGUGUAGCAAGCUAAUUUAAUGUAUACUUUAUUUUCCCAUAUAAGUACAUUUGUUUUCUGCUUGAAGCACCACAUUUUACUAUACAUACAUACAGAGAGGAACAUAUUAACAACCAUGUAGAUGAUUAAGAUAAUAGAAGUCCUUUACUUGUUGCUAUUUAAAUUCACAGGGCUUGUAAAGGGGUUCAUUUUCUCACUCAAGAUAUUUAAGGGACCACAACCAUAACCAUUUGUAUUCCUUCCAAAGUUCCAC
rnacentral:lncRNA from 1 species